UCCACGCAACACAUGCAACAACAAUAAAUUGAGCGCAAUUGAAACCGCUUCGGGGCUUUGUCGUUCGCGCCGUCGCCAUGACGGUUUCCAUACCUUCGGUUUCCCCGGUUACCAAGCAACUACGGCUUGAUUAACAGUCUUCGGAUGGAAUACGCAGUCGAGUGUACAAAGACUAUGUAUGUUGUGAAAGAAGAUGUUUCAACUUGGUAAGAAUUAGGGUUAUUAUGUAUCCAGACAUGCAAUAAUGAUGUAUUUUUCAAGAAACAACUUCGCAAUGAUGUUGAUAACCAUCUUUAUUUUUUAUAUUUUAAUCUUCUUUAAAUUCUUGUUUGUUUAAUGAAAAUUUUGAACACGUCAAACGAAAGUUAGUUUAAUAUCAAUAUUUGCAAACUAAAAUGCACAUUUUUACACAUACUUUAUACGUAUUACUUGUUUAUACCUUUAAACCCUUUAUCAAUAAAUGUUGUCUUAGUUCAAAUAUUAUAAAGAUAAAA